UUAAUAAAAUCCAAAAUUUAGAGGAAUACCACUGUUAAUGGUAUCAAUAAGAUCUAAUCUUUUAUUAAG
rnacentral:tRNA from 1 species